rnacentral:lncRNA from 1 species
CAAAGGUCAAAUGUUUUCCAAUUUGAAAUUAUUUUUUUUAUUUUCUUCACUCUGUGUGGCACCUAUAGCUACAUUGUCAAAUUUGACUUGGAAUAUGAUCUGUCCUUUAAAAGGGCCCUUGACCUAGUUAAAUGUUCAAAACAGAGAUUUGGAUCAGUUUAGAACUGUAAUGGUUCGAUUAAAAAAAAAUUGAACCCCCUCUGUGGUAUGAUUCUACACAUUUUUAUUUACAAUUUGUAUGGAUCUAAUUUUGCUUUACUGGCUUGUGAGCAGCUUUAACAUACAACAUGCUUU